rnacentral:rRNA from 1 species
UGGGGAAUUUUGGACAAUGGGCGCAAGCCUGAUCCAGCAAUGCCGCGUGCAGGAUGAAGGCCUUCGGGUUGUAAACUGCUUUUGUACGGAGCGAAAAGGUCUGCCCUAAUACGGUGGGCUCAUGACGGUACCGUAAGAAUAAGCACCGGCUAACUACGUGCCAGCAGCCGCGGUAAUACGUAGGGUGCGAGCGUUAAUCGGAAUUACUGGGCGUAAAGCGUGCGCAGGCGGUUAUAUAAGUCAGAUGUGAAAUCCCCGAGCUCAACCUGGGAACUGCAUUUGAGACUGUAUAGCUUGAGUACAGGAGAGGGGGAUGGAAUUCCGCGUGUAGAGGUGAAAUGCGUAGAUAUGCGGAGGAACACCGGUGGCGAAGGCAGUCCACUGGACCUGUACUGACGCUGAUGCACGAAAGCGUGGGGAGCAAACA